AGGUAGUGACAAUAAAUAACAAUGCUGGGCUAUCGUAGUCCGGCAAUUGGAAUGAGAACAAUCUAAACCCCUUAACGAGGAACAAUUGGAGGGCAAGUCUGGUGCCAGCAGCCGCGGUAAUUCCAGCUCCAAUAGCGUAUAUUAAAGUUGUUGCAGUUAAAAAGCUCGUAGUUGGAUUUCGGGGCGGCCCGACUGGUCCGCCGCGAGGCGAGCACUGGUCGGCCGCCCUUCCUCUCGGAGGCCCCGACUGCUCUUGGUUGCAGUGGUCGGGGAGUUCGGGACGUUUACUUUGAAAAAAUUAGAGUGUUCAAGGCAGGCCGUCGCCUGAAUACAUUAGCAUGGAAUAAUGGAAGAGGACUUAUGGUCCCCGUUUUGUUGGUUUCUUGGACCGAAGUAAUGAUUAAGAGGGACAGUU
rnacentral:rRNA from 1 species